CGGCCUCACCUCUCCAGGAGGUCGACAGAACGACAGGACGUUCUCCGAAUGCCAGGAGUCGCAGAGGGCAGAGCAGGAUGAAGAAACCACAGGCGGAGUCUAGGGGAAGCAGUACGGCGUCCCUGCCUCAGGCCUGCCCGGACGGUGUGCGGGUGAGUCUCCCCAAAAGUCGUGCCCCUGUCAAUUCGAGGACAGGUCUGCCUGUGUGCCUGUAGGCUACUCUCUCACCCGAGGGUCGUUCUCACAGAGAGCAGAACCCCGCAGCCUCAGGAGUUGCCUGGGGCGGGCGGGGGGGGAUGUUUGUGUACCACUGCUGUGUGUGUGUGUAGUGUGUGUGUGUCUCACUUUCUUCUCUCUCUCUCUCCCUCUGUUUCUUUCUCUGUGUGUGUGUCCGUGUGAGUGUGUUGUCACGAAUGUGCCCUGUGCGCCAAAGGGCAAUUUCUUGCAUGUCGGCCUGUCUUUGGUGAGCCUCUUUCUGCAUCUCUGCCUGGGUCAUGUGGAGAUGCUUCGGACCCAGAGGAAUUGAAAUCUCAUCCCCAGCCUGAGUGGCAGCUUUUCUAGGAUCAAGACCACACCUCAGCCAAGGACAAAAGCAUCAGAAGAGCUCAUUGUCCUGAGGGAGGGGAGCAGACCGACGUCAAAGAUGGUUUUAAGUCCGCGAGACUCUUCUCUGACAAAUGAAGCCACACCACGACACAGGCUUAAAGAAGAAGCCGGGAACAGGACAUGGCAAGGAUCCCUGUCACUGGAACACUGGCCUUUCUGGACAAGUCACCCGUUUGGCACUCCUCCCCGGGUGCCCGUUGCGGUGGCACUGUGCUGUAUCCUGCCUGGGCUCUGGCCUCUGCUCUGUCCUCCCUCUUGCUGUGUCUCCCGUUUCUGAGGGGUGCAGAUGCUUCUUGGUCUGCCUCAAUGUCUUCAACAAAGAACACUUUCCAGUCCAUCAGGGAGAAACUUCAAGGAGAUCCAUGUCAUGAUUGUUUCCCUCUGCAAACUUGUUUCUGGUGGAUUGGGCACGUGUGAAGAUCCUGGAGCUCUGGGCAUCCAUACCUGUCUCAGACAGGGAAGCUCCCUUGGUCUCCAUGUUUCACCUGAUGGCUGCGUAGUUUCCCUACAAUGAAUGGUAGGCGACCGUGGCUGGCCUUGGCUUCAAGAGAGGCGGUGUCACAUUUCCUCUGCAUUUCCUGUCUCAUUCUUAAGGGACAUCUGCUUCCUCUGCUCCUGGGUGGACUGCCUCCCAGAACUGAAUCUUUUGGCAGCCAAUAAUGUCAGGGAGCCAAAGGGACUGGGCUGGGGCUGGGUGCAUGGGAGGUUGCGUUAGGGCUACCUAGGCGGUGGAGGGAUGGAGGUGGAGUGAUCUUUACAGAAACCUCUCCGCUCCUCCAGCAGGCUCCCCAAAAUGUGGCUUGGACUUACGCACAGGGCCUCUUCUGGUUCCCAGCUGUGCUUUGCUUUUCCUUGGCAUUGUUGGGGAGGUCACCUGUGCCCCCCUUCCACCGGGCACAUGCCUGGACACCAGUGUUCGUCUCGCCAUCGCCCCAUAUGGCCUCGGUGACACACACUCACCCCAUCUGCUCUGGGGGACGCCAGUGCCACGUUUGGUCACAUUGGCUCCACCUCGGACUCACCCCUGUUCUUGUUUGCAUGUCUCCUGGAAAGCGGUGGCGGCACACAGCAGCCCCAGGACUUUGGCAAGCGGGGCAGGCCACUGCACCUCCCAGGGAGGAGGGAGGCAGAGGGCUCAUGUUUCAGUGAAUUUUCAGCUGACACCAUGCCUUCAGGCCCAUGGGAUCUUUCUGUGCCCCAGCGAGGCCCUGCCUGCCUCACCAGAUGAGGUGAGCCCAUCCCUGGUCACCUGGUGGGAUCCAAAAUCGGAUCUGAAGAGGAGUACUGAGACCCCAGCAGGCGCCCUGAACCUCCUCUUCCACUGGUAGAAGUUGGCUCAAGGAGGCCCUGAGGACAGGACUCCUGCGAGUCCGGCCCUAGGGCGCCCGCAGCCCCCACUCCCUCGCCGCCCCCUACUUGAUCCCGGAUUCAGCCACCACCGCGCUGCAGCAGGAGCCCCUACUGCCGCCGCCAUUGUUCGAGGGGGCCUCAGCCUGAGUUCCAGGAGCAGAGCACGAGUCGGCCUAGGCAAUGCGCAUGCCCGAGGCGCGAGAGGAUUAUCCCGUCACAGUGAUUCCCACAGUUGCCUGAGAAACCAGUCCCUGAGGCUUGGCAAAGCAGGAGCCCUCCGUGGCAGUGCUUGGGUGUCCGGGCUCCGAGACUCCGGCCUGACCUCUCCAUGGGGUCGAAAGGACGGUCUCUGGAUGCCAGGAGUCGCGGAGGGCGGACCAGCAUGAGGAAACCAUUGGCGGAAAAUGGCAGAAGCAGUGCGGCAUCCCAGCCUCAACUGCCGGGACGGUGUUCAAGUGAGUCUCCCCAAAAGUCAUGCCCCCCGUGAUCUCGACGACAUGUCUGCUUGUGUGCCCGUGGGCUGCUCUCUCACUUGAGAAUCGUUCUCGCAAAGAGCAGAACCCCGCAGCCUCAGGGGUUGCCUGGGGCUAUGUGUUUCUGUGCCACUGCUCUAUGUCUGUGUGUGUGUGUCUCCCAUUCUCUCUUCUCUCUCUGUCACUCUGUUUCUCUCUCUCUGUCUGUGAGUGUGUGUGCCGGUGUGCGUGUGUGUGUUGAAUGAAUGUGCCCUGUGCAUCAAAAAGCGAUUUCUUGCAUAUCGGCCUGUCUUUGGUGCGCCUCUUGCUGCGUCUCUGCCUGGGACAUGUUGCCGGUUGUCAAUCGGUUUCGCGGCAGUUCCACUUUGGGUUUCUAAAGGCCUCGACGACGUGAGGAGAGGCGUCGGUCCUGGAGGAACUGAAAUUUCAUCUCCAUCCUGAGCGGCCUCUUUUCUAGGAUCAAGACGACCACACUCCAGCCAAGGACAAAAGCCUCACAGGAGCUCACUGUCCUGCAGGAGGGGAGCAGACAAACGUCAAAGAAGAUGGUUCUAUCUCCUCACGGCUCUUCUCUGAAAAAUGAAGCCACACCACGACACAAUCUUCAAGAAGCUGGGAAUGGGACAUGGCAAAAACCCCUGGCCUCUCUGGACAAGUCACCUGUUUGGCACUCCUCCCCUCAGCCUGUGGCGGUGGCACUGUGCUGUAUCCUGCCUGGGCUCUCGCCUCUGCUCUAUCCUCCCUCUUGCUCUGUCUGCCCUGUUUCUGAGGGGCCUAGAUGCUUCUUGUUCUGGUUCAAUGUCUUCAACAAAGAUCACUUCCCAGUCCAACAGGGAGAAAGUGGUGAUCCGUGUCAUGAUUGUUUCUCUCUCCAAACCCGUUUCUGGUGGAUUGGGCAGGUUUGAUGAUCCUGGAGCUCUGGGCAUCCAUACCUGUCUCAGACAGGGAAGCUCCCUUGGUCUCCAUGUUUCAUGGGAUGGCUGCGUGGCUGGCCUUGGCUUCUAGGAAAGGCGGUGUCGCGUUUCCUCUUCACUUCAUGUUUCAUUCUUGAGGGACAUCCUCUUCUGAGCUCCUGGGUGGACUGCCUCCCAGAACUGAAUCUUUUGGCUGCCAUGAAUGUCAGGGAGCCAAAGGGAUUGGGCUGGGGCUGGGUGCAUGGGAGGUUGUGUCGGGGCUACCUAGGCAUUGGAGAGGUGGGGGUGAAGUGAACUUUGCAGAAACCUCUCCGCUCCUCCAGCAGGUGUAGCAAAAUGUGGCUUGGAUUCACGCACAGGCCCUCUCCUGGUUCCCAGGUGUGCUUUGCUUUUCCUUGACGUUGUUGGGGAGGUCACCUGUGCCCCCCUUCCACCAGGCACAUACCUGGACACCAUUGUUCGUCUCGCCAUCGCCCCAUAUGGCCUUGGUGACACACACUCACCCCAUCUGUUCUGGGGGACGCCAGUGCCACGUGUGGUCGCAUUGGCUCCACCUUGGACUCGCCCCUGUUCCUGUUUGCACGUGUACUAGAAAGCGGUGUCUUCUUGCAGGAGCCCCAGGGCUUUGGAAGCGGAACAGGCCACUGCUCCUCCCAGGGGCGAGGGAGGCAGAGGGCUCAUGUGUCAGUGAAUUUUCAGCCGACACCACGCCUUGAGGCUCAUGGAUCUUUCUGUGCCCCAGCGAGGCCCUGCCCGCCUCACAGAUGAGGUGAGCUCAUCCCUGCUUACUUGGUGAGAUCCAAAAUCUGAAGAGGAGUCCUGAGACCCUAGCAGGCGCCCUGAAGCUCCUCCUCCACCGGUAGAAGUCGGCACAAGGAGGUCUUGAGGACAGGACUCCUGGUGGUCCAGCCCUGGGGCGCCCGCAGUCGCCUCUCUCAACGAAGCCCGCUCCUCGACCUUGGAUCCAGGUGCCCUCCUACCGCCGCGCCGCCGCCAUUAUUUAAAGGGGCCGCAGCCUGACUUCCAGGAGCGGAGCGCGAGUCGGCCUAGCUAAUGCGCAUGCGUGAGGCGCGAACAGAUUCUCGUCACAGUGAUUCCCAUGGUUGCCUAAGAAACCAGUCCCUGAGGCUUGGCAAAGCAGGAGCCCUACAUUGCAGUGCUUGGGUGUCGGGGCCCUGAGGCUCCGGCCUGACCUCUCCAGGGUGUCAACAGGAUGGUCUGCGGAUGCCAAGAGUGGUGGAGGUCCGACCAGGAUGAUGAAGCCACAGGCGGAGUCUGGGGGAAGCAGCUCGGCAUCCCAGCUUCAGGCCUGCCGGGACGGCGUUCGAGUGAGUCUCCCAGAAAGUCGUGCACCCCCGUGACCUCGAGGACAGGUCUGCCUGUGUGCCCGUGGGCUGCUCUCUCACCCGAGAGUCGUUCUUCUGGAGAGCAGAGCCCCGCAGCCUCAGGGGUUGCCUGGGGGGGUGUGCUUCUGUGCCACUGCUAUAUGUCUCUGUGUGUGUGUGUGUGUGUGUGUGUGUGUGUGUGUGUGUGUGUGUGUCUCCCAUUCUCUCUUCCAUCUCUGUCUCUGUUUCUGUCUCUUUCUUACUUUCUUUGUCUGUGCGCCCGUUUGCGUGUGUGUGUGUUGGGACGAAAAUGUCUUGUGCACCGGAGUGCUGUUUCUUUCUUGUAAGCCUGUCUUUGUUGAGCCUCUUUUUGCGUCUUUUACUGGGUCUUGCGGCCCAUUGUCAGUUUUCCCUGCCGUUCCACUUUGCAUUUUGUGAAAGCCUCGGCAACAUGGGGAGCAUCGUGGGUCCCGCAGGAGUUGAAUUCUCCUCCCCAUCCUGAUAGGCCUCUUGUCCAAGAUCAAGACGACCACCCCACACUUAAGCACAUUUUUUAAAGGGGUCGCAGCCUGAUGUUUAGGAGCCGGGCCCAUGUAGACCUGGCUAAUGCACCUUACUCGCCUCUCACUGCCUGUCACUUCGUCCACAGCAGCCCCCGCUCACUAUUUUUUAAAGGGGCCACUGACGGGAUUACAGGAGCCAGGCGCCUGUCGGCCUUGCCAAUGUGCAUGCUCGUGGCGUGUGCAGGUUCUCACGUCUUAAUGAUCCCCUCCAUCGUCUGGGGAAUGGGUCCCUGAGGCUUGCCGAUCACAAUCACUCCGUGGCAGUGCAUCCGUGUCAAAGCUUUUGCCUGACCUCUCAACGUGGUUGACAUGAUUGUCUCUGGAUGCCCGGAUUUGAGGAGGUCACCGACCAGGAUGAAAAAACCUCAUGCAGAGUCACGGAGAAGCAGCGCGGGAUCCCAGCUUCAGGGGACAGAUGGAAUCUCCGGACUCCCAUUUGGAUCUGAUUUUGGAUCCCACCCAUUGAGCAGGAAUGGGGUUACAAUCUGGUGAGGCGGGGAGGGCCUCUCUGGGGCACAGAACGGUCCCACGGACCUCAAGCCAUGGUGUCAGCUUAAAGUUCAUUGACUCAUCAGCCCACUGCCUCCCUUCUCCUUGGACGGAGCAAUGGCCUUCUCUGGUUUCCAAAAUCCAGGGACUCCUGUAUCCUGACACUGCUUUCUGGGACCAGUGCCAACAGGGCCAGGGGUGAGUUUGAGGUGGAGCAAAUGCGACCACACGUGGCACUGGCGUCCCCUAUGAGCAGAUGUAGUGAGCGUGUAUCUCCAAGGUCGUUUGGGGUGAUGUGGAGACUGACAGUGAUGUCCUGGCAUGCGCUCAGGGGGCUAUGGGGACCUUCGGAAGAAAGCCAAGGAAAAGCAAAUCACACCUGGGAACCAGGAGAGGGCCUGUGCCGGAGAACAAGCCCAUUCAGGGAGGCCUACUGGAGGAGGCGAGAGGUUUCUGCAAAGUACCCUUCACCCCCACCCCUCCAUUGAGUAGGUACUUCUCAAGCUGUCUUUCCUUCACCCAGCCAAAACGGAAAAUCGUUCCUGCCUUUUUAGGACAGCAGUGCUGAGCAGCAGGAUUCCCUGAGCUUUGAGACCAGGACGGUGCCCUGGGAGGCCCAGGUCGAAGGGAGGCAGUGAGCUCAUGAAACAGGGAAUUUUCAGCUGACUCCCUCCCCUGGGAUCUCAGCUGUUACUGUGCCCCAGCGACCCCCUUCACACCUCACCAGACUGAAUAACCAGCCCCAUGGGACCCGAUUUCUGCCCAUACCUUCCAAUCCGGAAUCGGAGCAGAAGAGCAGUCCCGAGUGCCCACCUCACGGUCUGAAGCGCCUCCUCCUCCACCGGGAUCCGAACACGAAGUCGGCUUAAGGAGGCCCUGAGGUCAGGACUCUUAGGGUCCUGCGCUGCUUGUCGCAAGCAGCCUCCUCCCCCAAGCCGCCGCCGGUCCAUCUCUAGCAUUUUCCUGGGGCUGCCGCCUGACAGCCCUGACAUUGCAGCGCGCGCGAGCCGACCACGACAAUGCGCAUGCACCAAACGCGAGGCACCAGGGCAAGCUCUGAGCCAGGGCUGGCCUCCCAGGGACCACCACCAUUGCCUGGGCACGGGUCCCAGAGGCUUGGCAGAUCAGGAGCCCUCUGUGGCAGUGUGUAGAGUUGGGCUGAUGUCUCUCCUCUCUGAGGGAUCAGCACGGUGAUCCCACAAUCCUUGGAGACUGGCAGGGCCGAACUAGGCUGAAGAAACGUCAAGCAGGGCCCCAAGAAUGCACCACAGGAUCCCUAAGGAUCCCUAUGAUGUAUCAGGCCUGCCUAGAUAGUUUAGGGGUGAAUCUCCUUGAAAGUCGUCCCCCCGGGAUUUGGACAUACGGCCUGCCUAUGUGCCCGAGGGCUGCUCUCUCCCCGGAGGGGCUUCCUGGCAGAGAGCAGAACCACGCAGCCUCAGGAGCUGCCUGGCUGUGUGUUUCUGUGCGAGUGCUGGAUGUCUCUGUGUGUGUUUCUUUCUGUGUGUGUGUGGUUUCUUGUGAAACAAAUGUGACUCGUGCGCUGGAGCGCGGUUUCUCUCAAGUCCACCUACCUUCUGAUGCUCCUCACUCUGUGGCUCCGCUUGGGCUGCGGGGCCCCACGUCCUUUGUUUUGCUUGUAGUUCCUGAAGCCUCGGAGAAGUGGGGGGCUGGCUCCAACCCACAGGGGUCCAAAUCAUCUCCCCACCCCGGGGAGCCACUCUUCUAGAAAGAAGAUGAGCACAACACACCCAAGAACAGACGCCUCCUAGGGGCCCAUAGUCCUGUGGCACAUCCAGGGCUGGACCCUAGCUGUCCUGUCCUCAGGAUCCCCUUGAGCCCACUUCAAAUUCCGUUGCUGGCAGGGCAGGAGCUUAAGGAUGUCAGAUGGGCACUCAAUCUUCUUUCAGUUCCAUUCCGGGUCAAAAAGAAAUGAUGUGUGUAGAAAUAAGGUGAGACAGGGGUGAGGAUACAGUCUGAUGAGGUGGGGAGGAGGUCCCACAACUACACCAGCAGGACAGGUGCAGAUAGAUGUCAAAGAAGCUGGUUCCAACUCAUUCUCCCCUUCCUCUUCACUGCAUAACCUGUCCACACCAUGGCCUGGUGCUGGUGGAAGAAGACAUGAAUGUGAGGAGAAUAUUUGGACUGCAAACUGUGGCCUUUCUGGCCAGCUUCCAGGUUGGGCCCUCAUUCCCGGAGCCACAUGCGAGUGGGAUGGAUUGAUCCUGCGCGGGCUCUGGCCUCUUCUCUGUCCUCUCUUUUCCUGCCUUCCAUGUUUCUCAUGGGCCUAGGGUUUCCUUGGUCUGGCUCUACAUUCUCUACAACAAACUUUUCCCAGUUAGUUGAGGAUGACCUUUCUGAAGAUCCAUGUCAUGAGUGUUUCCUCCUCAACACCCACAUUUCCUAAUGACUGGGUAGCUGUGAUAAUUCUUGAACCGUGGGUGCUCGUAGCUCCCACCAACAGGGAAACUUUUGGUCCUCCUAUUCCGUCAGAUGACUGCAUGAUUCCCAUAGGAUGAGAGGUAGUCAGCCAUGGCUGGCCUUUGCCUUCUAAUCUAGGCUGUGUUUCAUUUCCUCUGCACAUCCUUUCUUAUUGUUGAGUGAUCUCCCAUUUCUCUAUUCCUGACUGGAACUGCCUCUCAGCACGGAACCAUUGGCUGUUAGGAAUUUCACAGAGCAAAAGGGACUGGCAGUUGACUGGGUGCAGGCCAGGUGGUGAGUAGUGAUCCGGUGUGGGGUUUGGGGUGUUUUGCACUUUGCACCUCUUGGCUCCUCUGGCUGGAAUCCCUGAACGGGGCUUGGACUCUAGCACAGGCCCCUCCUGUGGUCCCAGUUGUGCUUUGCUUGUCCUUCCCUUUCUUGGGGAUCCUCAUUGCCCAUUGGGAGCAUGCCCGGACAUCCUUCUGAGGCUUGGAUUCACCCCAUAUGGCCUUUGAGACACACUCUCAACCUUAUCUGUCCCCAUGGAUUGCCAGUUCCAGGUGUGGCCACCUUGGCUCCACUUUCAGCUUGCCUUUGUCCUCGUUCCCGUUGCUACUGGACAGCAGUGCUGAGGAGAAGCAGGAGCUUCUGGCAGCCAGACAGGCAUGUUUGCUGAGGCACUAGUUUGCAUGACGCUACUGGGACCCCUCGGAGGAUGAUUUUGGUAGUAGGGCCAAGGCCAAACAGGUUAGUAGCCAGGCUCUAUGGGACUUGGGUUGUUUCCAAGUCUGAAGCAAGAUGACUGCUGGGUCUACAACCUAGAUAUGGGUCACUGCUUUCAAAACAACCCUCUUAGGUCUUGGGAUCCACAAGGGUUUCAUAACCUCCUACAUGAAUCCCAAGGCUCCCAGAGAGAGACUUUUGCCAAUGGAUAAGUGCAGAAUUCUUACUAUUGUGGGGGGAUAUGAGCAGGUGACCACAUAUUUCACCAUCUUGCUAACAUCAUCACCAUCUGUUUCCUUUAUUGUAUAAUAAACUAGUAAACCUAAGUGUUUUCCACAGAUCUGUAGCCAUUCUAGCAAAUGAUGCAACUAAUGGAGAGGAUCAUGGGAACUUCUGAUUCAGUCAUUCAGUAAGACGUACAGGUGACAUCUGGACUUGUGAUUGGUGUCUGAAGUGAGAGUAGUCUUGUGGGACUGAGCCCCUGGCCUGUGGGAUCUGACUCUAAAUCUGAUUAGUGUCAGAAUUGAAGUGCAGGAUGCCCAAUUGGUGUGCACAAGGAAAAGCCCCACACAAGUGGUAUGAGAAGUACUGAGAGUGGCAUGAGUAUAGAAGGAAAACCUGCUUUUGCAGAUACAGUGGCAUACAUACAAUCCUUUUGUAUAACCAGGGUUAUACACCAUGACCAAGUAGAAUUUAUUCUUGGAAUGAAACAAUGGUUAAAUAUUUGAAAUCCUAACGUGUAAUAUAUCACAUUAAGAGUGAAGGAAAAACCCCACUUGAUUAUCUCAAUUCACGCAAAAAGUUUCAACCAAUUUCAAAAACCAUUCAUGAUUUUUUAAAAAGUCAUGCAACAAAUUAGGAAUUGAAGGAAACUACGUCAACAUAAUAAAAGUUUUAUGUGAAAAACCCACAGUGGACAGCACACUCGGUGAAAGACUGAAAGCUUUUUCUCCAAGAUCAGGAACAAAGGAAGAAGGCCUGCUGUCACCAUGUUCAUUCAGCAGAGUACUAAAAGUACUAGCUACAGAAAUGUGGCAAAAAAAACAACAACCGGCAUCCAAAUUGAAGACAAUGAAAUGAAUUUUCUGUGUUUGCAGAUGAUAUGAUCUAAUGUGUAAAAAACCCAAAAGACUCCAUAAACAAAAAACAACUAAUAAAAUGAAUUCAGCAGAGUGCCAGGAUGGUCAACACACAGACAAAAAAAAGUUUCAUUUCUAUACAAUUACACUGAAGAACACAAAAAAAAGAGAAAACCAUGCCAUUCACAAUAGCAUCAAAAAGAAUAAACUUCUUCAAAGUUAACCAACAAAUUGAAAGACUUGUCCAAUGAAAACUACAUAUCAUUCCUGAAAAAAAAUUAAAGACAUAAACUGAAAGGCAUCCCCAUGUUCAUGGAUUGGGAAAUUUAAUAUUGUUAAUAUGUCAAUACUAUCUAAAGCCAUCUACAGAUUUCAUGUAAUCCUUCUGAAAUUCUAAUGACAUUUUUUGUAUAAACGGAAAAAUCUAUCCUGAAAUUCAUAUGAAACCUCGUGGGAUUCCAAGUAGGCAAAACAACCCUAAAAACUAGGAAUAAAGCUGGAAAAAUCACACUUUCUGAUUUCAGAACUUACUGCAAAAUGAGAGUAAUCAAAGAGUCCAAUAUUAAUCAAUGCAUAUAUAGCCAGAUGCUUAUCAACAAGGGUGCCAAGAUCAGUCAAUGGGGAUAUGACAGGGUUCUGAACUGUGCUAGGAAAACUGGGUAUCUACAUAAAAAAGAAUAAAGUUGAACUAUUUUUAUUUUUUGUUUGUUUGUUUUUUUGAGACAGAAUCUGUGUCGCCCAGGCUAGAGUGCAGUGGCAUGAUCUUAGCUCACUGCAACUUCUGCCUCCUGGGUUUAAGUAAUUCUCCUGCCUCAGCCUCCUGAGUAGCUGGGAUUAUAGGUGUGCACCACCAUGCCCAGUGAAUUUUUU
rnacentral:lncRNA from 1 species